CACUUCCAAAGGUACAUUAUCAUACGCCUUCACGGCAGUGAGAAAUCUGAGGAAAAACCCUUGAACUCUACAACGGGCAGUGGAGCUGUUCCCCUCUUACCAGCCGCCUCAUUUCUUCAGCGAAGCCCAACUACAAACUUCCUUUGCUUGACUCUUAACACUGAGCUAAGAGUCUAUAUAUACUCAGGCCUCCAGUUCGGGGAAGCCCUUCGCGGCCAAUCAGGGCUUCCCGAUCUAUUGCGUCACACCUCCCCCCUGGGUGUGACGUCAAAGGCAAUCCCAGGCCAGCCACGUGGGUUGGAGGAGCGUUUCUGGGCAGCUGUUCCAGAGACACCCGGCAGCAACGGUCCCGCAAGGGUGGGGAACUGGGCAGGGAGGGGCAGACAGGGCUCCUACGCGCACCUUCUGGGAACACAACUGUGGCAGCUCGCUCGCCCCGGAGGCGCGCAGGUCCCCCCUCCCCGGAUACCGGAAAGUCUCUUCUCUUUUUCGUAUCAAAAAAAGCCCGGUGAAGACUCUGCAGAACCCAGGAAGCGCAGAAUCGGGAGAAAGUCUUUGGCUGGGGCUGGUUCAAGACCCUGCUUCAAUGGGCUGCUGGAAGCCAGGACUGGGGUUCCUCUGAGGUUGGACUUCUUUCGCGCUCGAUAG
rnacentral:lncRNA from 1 species